rnacentral:misc_RNA from 1 species
CUAUAUUUUAAGACAUAAUCAUCUUGCAACAUAUUGGCCUUUAGUAGCUCUUACUAGCUCUCCUUGGUCCUUCAUUCUGUUUUGUUGAUAUUACUCUCUAUUACAAACUGCUUCAAACCGAGAAAUUAACAAGACCCAAAAUCUUUCCCUUCAAGAAUCAUGAUAUCUAUAGCCUCGCUUGAGCUUGAACCUGCCAAGCCAGAAAUCUCUCCUCCUCAGAAUUCUGAUACUCAUAUUUUCAGAUCAAAAUUACCUGACAUUCCCAUCUCUAGCCUUCUCUCUCUCCAUGCAUACUGCUUUGAGAACCUCUUCAGUUUCGCUGAUAGACCAUGUCUUAUUUCAGGCUCCACUGGCAAAAUCUAUUCUUUUGCUGAAACCCACCUCAUAGCUCAGAAGACUGCUGCUGGGUUAUCCAAUUUGGGAAUCAAGAAAGGGGAUGUCAUCAUGAUUCUCCUCCAAAAUUGCCCUGAAUUCGUCUUCUCUUUCAUGGGUGCUUCCAUGCUUGGAGCAGUCACCACUACUGCCAACCCCUUUUAUACUCCAAAUGAAAUAUUCAAACAGUUUACUUCUUCUCGUGCCAAGCUGAUCAUUACACAAUCUCAAUACGUUGACAAGCUAAGAGAUUCCCACGAGAACCACCCAAAACUCGGCCAAGAUUUUACUGUAAUCACCAUCGAUGACCCACCGGAAAAUUGUCUUCAUUUCUCGGUGCUUUCGUCGGCCAGCGAGAGCGAAAUCCCAGAUGUUACCAUCCACCCUGACGAUCCUGUUGCAUUGCCCUUCUCUUCAGGGACUACAGGGCUCCCUAAAGGAGUGGUAUUAACUCACAAGAGCUUGAUAACGAGUGUGGCCCAGCAAGUAGAUGGAGAGAACCCAAACUUAUACUUGAAAGAAGAAGACGUUGUCUUGUGCGUAUUGCCUCUGUUUCACAUAUAUUCACUGAACAGUGUAUUGCUCUGCUCGCUGAGAGCAGGAGCAGCGGUUUUGUUAAUGCAAAAAUUUGAGAUAGGAGCAUUGCUAGAGCUAAUUCAGAGGCACAAGGUGUCAGUAGCAGCGGUGGUGCCACCGCUAGUGCUGGCGUUGGCAAAGAAUCCGAUGGUUGCGGGGUUUGACCUGAGCUCCAUCAGAGUGGUGCUGUCUGGGGCCGCGCCGCUGGGGAAGGACCUAGAGGAUGCUUUACGUAGUAGGGUGCCACAGGCGAUACUGGGACAGGGGUAUGGAAUGACAGAGGCAGGGCCAGUGCUGUCAAUGUGCUUAGGAUUUGCAAAGCAGCCAUUCCCAACCAAGUCGGGUUCAUGUGGCACUGUGGUUAGAAAUGCAGAGCUCAAGGUCAUCGACCCUGAAACCGGUUGUUCCCUUGGCUACAACCAGCCUGGUGAAAUUUGCAUCCGUGGACAACAAAUUAUGAAAGGAUAUUUGAAUGAUCCGGAGGCCACAGCAAACACUAUAGAUGUUGAAGGUUGGCUUCACACUGGGGACAUUGGUUAUGUAGAUGAUGAUGAGGAGGUUUUCAUUGUCGAUAGAGUCAAGGAAAUCAUCAAAUUCAAAGGCUUCCAGGUGCCACCAGCAGAGCUUGAGGCCCUCCUUAUAAACCACCCAUCAAUUGCAGAUGCUGCUGUUGUCCCGCAAAAAGAUGAAGUUGCUGGAGAAGUUCCCGUUGCAUUUGUGGUUCCAUCAAAUGGGUUCGAGCUUACUGAGGAGGCCGUAAAAGAAUACAUAGCAAAACAGGUGGUGUUCUAUAAGAAACUGCACAGAGUGUACUUUGUUCAUGCAAUUCCCAAGUCUCCCUCUGGAAAGAUAUUAAGAAAAGACCUAAAAGCUAAGCUAGCUACAACCUCCUCUUCGUCUUAGGAUUUGUUUAGUUGGUGUAAGUAAACUAAGGAAGUAAAACUUCUUGAGAACUGCAGAGAAAAGUCUUUUGCAUUAUCAAAGUAUAGCAUUCUACUUCCUUUGUGCAAGG